UACGGAGGGUGCAAGCGUUGUCCGGAUUUAUUGGGUUUAAAGGGUGCGUAGGCGGGCUUUUAAGUCAGUGGUGAAAUACUUCGGCUCAACCGGAGAGGUGCCAUUGAUACUGGGAGUCUUGAGUUCAGUUGAGGUAAGCGGAAUUGAUGGUGUAGCGGUGAAAUGCAUAGAUACCAUCAGGAACACCGAUUGCGAAGGCAGCUUACUGGGCUUGGACUGACGCUGAGGCACGAAAGCGUGGGGAUCGAACAGG
rnacentral:misc_RNA from 1 species